CGCACCAGUUGCGCUUGUCAGCUCGGUUAUCAAAAAGUCGUGAUAAAGAUUUCUAUCAGUUGAAAGUGAAAUAACUCUAAAUUAAAAACAUCGAUCGCGGGCGGCGGCUGUUCCUCGCAGAGCAACGUCCAAGGACACUCGGCUGAUUACAGAGCUUGAGACAACGGCGCCAGUAAGUCAAGAUGGCGAGCAGUUCGUGGGAGGAGUUCUUCGCUGUCCACCUGCCUCCGCCGGACUUUGAGGACAACAGGUCCCUGCUGAAGGAGUUCUGCGAGCGACACGACCAGUACGGGAACAAGAUUGUACUUGUUACGUCGGGAGGCACGACAGUACCGCUGGAGCACAACACGGUCCGUUUCGUGGACAACUUCAGCGCUGGUACGCGAGGCGCCUCCUCCACGGAGUACUUCCUGGAGCAAGGGUACGCGGUCAUCUUCAUGCACCGCCAGAAGUCCCUGGAACCGUUCACCAGACACUUCACCGGCCAGAAGCUGCUUGAUAUGCUCGAAAUCCAGGAUCGAGGACCUAAUACUACGAUUUCGGUGAAACCGGACAGCGUAGACGUCCUCGCACCGAUCCUGCUCCGCUACAAAGCUGCGCACGCGGCGGGCGCCAUCUUGCACGUGUCGUUCACCUCGGUGUCGGAGUACUUCUGGCUGCUGCGCGCGGCCUGCGAGUGUCUGGCCAACCUGGGCGCCAGGGCCGUGCUGUACCUGGCUGCGGCAGUGUCUGACUUCUAUAUUCCUAAGGAUAGAGUGCCGACCCACAAGAUGCAAUCAGCCUGUGGAGCUCCCAUCAUCCAGCUGCACUUGGUGCCGAAGAUGUUGGCGCCGUUAGUCAACCUGUGGGUCCCGGAGGCCUACGUCGUGUCCUUCAAGCUGGAGACUGAUGAGAACCUGCUGAUCCCCAAGGCAAGGGCUGCUUUGGAGAAGUAUAAGCAUAAGAUGGUGGUAGCCAACCUCCUGCAGACGCGCCACCACCGAGUGAUCCUGGUGUCUCCCGACAUCUCGCAGGAGAUCGUGCUUACUAGGGAGGAAGUUCAUGCCGGCGUGGACAUCGAGUCCUCGAUAGUAUGCGAGAUAGUCCGUCUGCACGGGCUGCACAUGCGCCUGGCGGGCGAGGCGGUGUCGCCGCCGCGCUCGCCGCGCUGAUCUCUGCGCGCGCGGCCCCGACUCUACCUCACCAACGAGUAGCCGCGCCACCCACCCAAACAGUGACGUGAAUAAUGACUUCUGUGUACUGUUUACCCACUACACCUAAGUAAGUGACUUUAAUCGAACUUAAACGUGUUUAUCUAUACCUUCUGUGUGUGUUUCAGUGUUUUCUUGUGAACGGUACUUGAUUCUAAGCUGAUUUUCUUUCGUAUGGUUAUUCAAACACUUUAAAAGGUUGAAGAUAUCAUAAUAUAUGUACCUAAAAUCAAUACAAUCAAUAUGUGAGAAAAUCCGCUUAGUAUUCCUACGAACAUAUACGAUUUAGUAUUGUCGUGUAUCAAGUAUCUUAUAUCGAUAAAUCUAUGGAUGCUACUGUAAAUAAUAAAAGUCGAUGGGCAUAUUUAAUCGAGUCUCUAUAAACAUAUUAUAGCGAAUAUUUUUUAUUCUGGUGUUUGUUGUAAGUAUCUUUGUAACACUAGUAUUGUAAUAUCGAUUUGUAAAACUAUCGAUUGUCUCUUAAUCGAUAUAAAAACUUCUCGAAUAGGUAAUCGAUCGCUGCUAUUAUGUUAUUGAUUGAUGAUAUUAAUAUCUUUUACCUUUCUUGUUAUAAGUAUACUAUCUUUUUGCAUAGAGAAGGGAUACCUUCACGUUUUAUCGAUAUUUUUUUUAUUUAUAAGUAUUUGUGAAGAAAUCAAUUGAAUCAUCGAUAUUUAUUUUAUCUAGUAAUCGUAUUCGAUGUUUUGUAAACACGUGUUAAGACAAACAAAAUCACGUUGCCUUAAAAAAAAUCGAGAUUAAAAACAAAAGCGUCAGAAAUUCUAAUCGAUUGAAAAAUACUAUCAGUUUACGUCUGACGUGCGUGGUUCAUUGACACCAAACAUAUCGGCUGUGGGUCAUAUCACACGAUGCGAUAGUACAGCCCUUGUACAGUUUAAGGUCGAUCCCAAACCCGAUACCCCACUAUCAUCACCUAAAAAAAAUACGAUGAUGAAACUCCACGAAAUAUUGACAUUACUAAAAAUGUUACAAGACUAAAAAAAUAUUUAACGUUAUCGUUGUGUUGCCAGUCUAAAUUAUUAUUCUUAUUAUUUGUUGAAAAAUAAAAAGUUUUAUUAUCAGUUGCGCGUUUUUUGGCUAUUUAUAAAUUGUAUUUGAAUAUUAAAUGUUUCAACUAUAUGUGCCCCAGUAUGUUCUGAAUAGAUUUUAUAUAUGUGUAACGUGUAACUAUGGAACUUAUAUCUAAGUGUAACAUAGUUUUAGACUGUAUAUAGGUAUAAUUCAAAAUAUAUCUAUCGAGAACUUCCAAUAGGAUUUUAAAUGUUUACUCUAUAAAAAAUAUAUCAUAAAUUGUACUAUUUAUUAUGAAAUUUUGUCAUGGGGUAACACUGGUUUAUAACAAAAACGGUCAUAGAAAAACUGUUUUAAUAUCGUUUUUGGUAUAAAGAGAUUAAUUGUUAGUUAAAUGGUUUUUUGAUGUGUAGAUGUAUGACAUAAUUAUAUUAGUGUUAUAUGGGUUAAAUAAUAAGAUUUAUAGUUAAAAUUAUAUAUAAUAUAUUAUACUUUAUAUAAAUGUUUUAUAGGGCCUUAGGUGCAGGUGAAGUAACGUUAGAACAAAAUUAUUUGAUAUUUAACGUCACAAUAUUUUAGAGAGAGAAAACAGCCCAAGCUGUACCUUUGUACUGUACCCUUAGUACGAGUGUGCUUUACCUUGAACGAAAACGAAACGAGAGCGUUUGUCGCUCUGAUUGGCCGGCUCGAAUGAAAUAACCAAUCAGUAUGCAGAACGCGCUCUCGUUUCGUUCUCGCUAAACGCUAAACUCUGAGAUGAAUUGGAACACAGCCCGAUGUAUGGGAUUUGAGUCAUUCUCUAGUUUAUGGGACUCAUAACAUAAUUGAUUAUAAGUGGGCUACAUUGUAUAUGUGUAUCUCUGCCUACUACUUCGAGGAUUAAAAGGCGUGACGUCAUACUAUUAUGGUCACCUGCAUCUUAUAUUUAUCCAAAAAUAUCAAUAAAUGUACUAUUGAUAUUUAUAUAAACAAAAAUAUCUCUUUUUUAUUUACAACUAUUUUACAUACGAUGCGAUUAUUGUAUAUUAGUUCUUAUUACAAGUAGGUAAGGUUUAAAUUGUAAUAUUUAUGUACUGUAUCGUUAUACAGGGUGUCCCAAAACUCAAUGAUGAAGUUUCACCCGAUGGUAGACCUGCUUAUGGGUAUAAAAAAUUUAAUCAAUUUUUUUUGUUGGGUUUUGGUACACACUGUAUAUUAUGUUUUUUUUUAUUUGUAUAUUAAUGGUUAAAUGUUGUCUCGUGUUAGGCUUAGGCUUUCGUUUCUACUUCUAACUAGACUUACUCCUCAGGACCACAACUUUGUAAGACAGAUAUAAGAUAGCAUUUUGAUUAAAUAAAAAUCUUACGACUCAUUUUUAAAUACAUAGAUUAUUAACUGUAAAUUGGAAAGUUCGAGCCUUAUUUUCAAAUGCCUUAUUUGGAAUUUUUGUAUAGUAAAACUUUUAUGAGACAGAAAAUUUAAAUAAAGUUUAUAAUAUGGCGUUUACUAUUUUCGAGCCCGAUCACUUUCGAGCUACAGCGGGGUCUUUAAUUUGAACUAACGGGCAACCCAGAAAUAGUAUACGUAAGUUGAAUAAACUUUAUUUAAAUCUCGUUUAGAAACUCAUUGGUAGUAUCUAUAAAGCAUUUUCUAGUAGUUUUUAAAUAUUUUGAUGUUCAGUUAUUACAAAUUGAGUAUUUUACACUUAGGCUGUUUCAUCUUUUGAUUAUUUUACAGUUAGUACUAACUGGCAGAUAGUUUGACGUAUCUACCGUAUAUGAGUGAGCUCAUUCUGUGUUCCAGAAUAAGCCGUGUUUUUGUAAUACCGAGGUUUUCCCAGCUACAAGAUGGGUUACUUCAAAAAGGGAAUAAGUAGGUUUCUUAAGGUUCGGCAAAGCGCAUGUAAUGUCCUUAGUGUUGCAAACUAUCUGCCAGUUAAGCUAAUAGACAUUUAUUGAGCAAUCGUGAGAGCCCUUAUAAUAUUAUUUGACAAGUUUUAAAGAUAUUAAAAAGUUUUACAUAUCAAAAGCACACAAUAGACAGUUUCGUGUUUUUCCUAUUACUGUAUCGUGAAACAUAUUAAAUUAAUUAUGUUUCUUGACUUACGUAACUUGACUAACCGCUGUACUCAGUCAUUUAAUGGUUACUUAACCCAGUCCUUAGCAAUUGUUUUCUGAACAAAAUCGUUACUAAAAAAUAGUUUAAGUAAUCAUUAAAUAACUCUUAAGUACGGCAGUAUUAUGCUAAAGAGUUUCUUACGCGUCUUUGGCGUCGGUUAUUACUAAUACUGCUCAUGAAUAUAGGUCCCGAACGUAGCUUGAAACAAGUCGAAUUAUCUCGAACAGUUACGCGAGCGAACCGUACAACAUAACUAAGUUUCAAAUGUUAUCAUUAGUAGUUUAUUUCACGCGUUAGUCAUUGUGCUGAUAAUUUUAACACAAUUAAUUUUGUUGAUAAGCUUCCUAGAUAGCUCGGAGCCGGUUUUAUCGAGUUUCCAGUGAGCACUAGUGAUCUCUUAUUGUUCUUUCAGCUUUGUUAUCUGUGAGUACCACUUCGUAUUUCUGCGAUGCUGGUAGACAAAGAGGGCGUACAAACGAUAUAUAGCGUCAUCUCUUUCUUUAAUUUCUUCUUAUAAAUAAAUAUUAAUAAUAAUAAAAUACAUAUAUUUCGAGCAACCUUAGCUCGUAAGUUGAGUAAACAAAAUUACAAAAUAUACAUACAUAAAACAUUUUGAAUUGACUUGAAACCUAUAUGCACGUAUUGUGUUUUAAGGUAUAAAUAGAGUAUCAUUGAUUAAUUUGACACGCAAUUUAAAAUAAAAGCGGUAUUCUGGUAAAGUCGGCCCACUCUGCACUUCUUCUUAUAAUAAUUAAUUUAGUAUGUCUCACGAAAGCUAUAAUAAAAUUAUGUUAAAAUUCUUCAGAGAAAAUCAAACUCUGCUGCAUAAGGUGCUCCGUUUAACACGUUAACUGCCGCGUAGAUCACCGGUGACCUACGUUAGUAGAGGAUUUGCCUUCAACAGUUUUCUGAUGGCAGUUAAAGCCUUAAAUCUAUUCGUUAAACAUAUUCAUUGUACGAGCGACACCUCUUUUUAUAUAAUAGUUGAUCGAUCAAAGGAUUUUAAUCAAUUUAGCAUUAUCUAUCCAAGUUUUUAAAUGUAUGAUUAUAAGUGUUAAUACUGCUACAUAUAAUGGAAAAUAUAAGCUCACUGUAACAUGUUGCGAUACGUGUUACAGGUACGAUAGACGUGACUUUAUCGUGCAACAUGCAACACGAACGUGUAUUGCAACGUGUCACGUGUCAAUCUCUAAGUGAAUUCGAAGUUUAUAUGUAACAUUAUGUGUAGCAGUUAAUAUAUUCACACUCCUAAACCCAGGAAUGUUGGUUAACAUCAAGAGAUGGACAUUUACUUUUGUUUCCUUCAAAAAUUCAUUUUUUAUGUGUAAUAAAAAUCCUUUUGUACUUGUUUAAACGUAUUAAUGUAAUUGACAUUAUUUUCCAAAACGGAUAUCUAAUACUAAAUGGGCUACUAACGUCACUUUAGCCACAGACUAUACAUAAAAGAUAAUACGUACGUAUUGCAACCACAGAUUAAAAAGAUUCCACAAGUUAUACAGACUGUUCACUAAAUUAUUGCCAAAACGAUGAACAAAAACGAUAUUAGUAUCGAAUAGCUCGUUCCUAAUGUUCUAGAACUGAUAUUAAAGUGUAUAUGAAAUUGUUUAUUUGUUAAUUUGAUUUGUUUUCUAUUAUAAUUAUGUUAAUUCAAUACUGUGUAAAGCACAUGGGAAUCUAAUUGCGAUCUUUCUUUAACCCUAUAAUGGAAAAUCCUCAUGAAGUCCCUGUGAGGAAUAUGAAUUCAUUGAUUGAAUUAAAAAUGUUGGUUCAUCAACUUUUUAAAAAAUCAUACGUUUGUCUACAGCAAACGUGCCACCAUUUUGUGCAUAAAAUGGUUAUUUGCGCAUUCCCGCGUAUUUACAUAGUGUUGAAAAAACGAAACGCGAAAGUUAAAUUUAAAAAUUAUUUAUUUGGAUGGUGUAUUAAAGCGCUGUGUUUAAAUUAAUUAUAAGUAAAUGUGUGUAUUUGGAUAUAAAGGGUAUUUAUCGUAUAGAUGUUGUGACGGAGUGGUGUUUAUAUCAGACUUAUAGAAAUGUUCUAUGUAGAUACAUAUUAUACCUGUUUGUGGGUCUGUAUGUUUGCGUGGGGUUUAAAACUCCAAUUUUUACUAACGAAACAUUAAGAUUAACCACUGGUUAAUGUAUAGAACAUGCAUUUUUACACAAAGAGGUAAAUGUUCCAAAAUCUACCAAAAUGGUAGUUUUUUGAGUUACUGGCAACAUUGGACAAAGAACUCCCACGCACACAUGCAAACAAUGAUUGUGUAAGUGUAUUAUCAUGUUUUAUAACUAUUAUAUCAUAUUUUAUGAAACGUUGAUGUGUGAACAACCCGGUCCUCAUGUUCUUCGAGUAUUCAAUCCAUAUAUUAUUACCUAGGUGUACUCUACGUAUCUAUUAGGUAAUCAAAUCCUUAUGUACUUGACAAUAAGGUCGAAUACAGUUUUAACUUUUAACUCUGCUGUCGUGAUGAACUUGGUGACUGUUCUUACACAUGAGUCUGGCUAUGAUGGAUAAUUUUGCAGGUAAAUACUUAGAAACACAAUUGAACUGCAUGUUUUGUAAGUAAAAAAGCAAAAAAAUUCAUUCUCAGUAAAAUUACAGCGCUAAUCAAGAGGUAUUAGGUUCAGCAACGCCUACGAAAGUUGACCUUCGGUUGGGUGGUUCCCAGUCACUGACUUCUCCACAACGGCAGAGUAUUCUCAGCACAAUACAAUACAGCUAGCUACUAGACUAGUUUCUACUUCUAGAUUUGAAAUUACUAAUGUGGGGAGCACGAAUUCAGUUUCAUAAUUAUAUCUAUAUAAUACUUUUUGCUAUCCCAGUAAAUAAAAACGAAAUAACCGAAAUCGGUAUUGAACUUUGAACAAAUGGUUUCAAUAAGAUUACACCGUGAUUGUACUACCUGCUUCAUCAUAUCAGCUACAGGACGUCCACUGCUGAACAUAGGCCUCCCCCUUCCAGAUAGGCCGGUUGAUAGCGACCUACAUCCAGCGGCUCCCAGCGACCUGCCUAUAUCCUUUCAAAUUGACGAUAUGGAAUUGAAUUCGUGCUUUAUACAACGAAAACUUUUUGUACCUACGAGAAUGAAAUGCUUUCGUGGUCCAUGUAACUUCAGUAUGUUUAUCAAUACCUUUUUGAACACAUUAAGUAAAAAUUACAAUUCGGCGUAUCAUCGAUCGCACUAACGUAUCAUCGGUUGAGUGUGAACGGUAAACUGUUUACCCGACUGCGCCAGAAGGAGGGUUAUUUUCUACACAUUUAACUGUUCUGGCGAUGCGUGACCGACAAUACGCGUCAGGUAUGAACUGACCCUAACACAACAACUACGCUAACGUACUCAUAUGUGGUACCAAAAGUACGCGAAGAAACGACAAAAAAACGCAAUUUUCUAUAAAAAAAUCAAAAUACUAAAGAUCACUUAUAUAACUGCUAAUUAUUAUUAUUCUUCUUCCACGAAAGCAUGAAGUUCUCGUUCCAACUUCUACCUAAGUAUUGUGCCUACAGUUCCAUAUUGACGUACUACUGUGAGUUUAUCUAACAUGGGUAUCUAUCGUUGUGAUAUUGUACUGUCUACGCUACUCAUGGAGACUUUACUACACGUGGAUUAAAUACUUUGGCAUAUUUUAAUGUA